rnacentral:rRNA from 1 species
UACAGAGGGGGCAAGCGUUGUUCGGAAUUACUGGGCGUAAAGAGUGUGUAGGCGGUGCUCUAAGUUCGGUGUGAAAUCUCCUGGCUCAACUGGGAGGGUGCGCCGGAAACUGGAGUGCUUGAGCGUGGGAGAGGAAAGCGGAAUUCCUGGUGUAGCGGUGAAAUGCGUAGAUAUCAGGAGGAACACCUGUGGUGUAGACGGCUUUCUGGACCAUAGCUGACGCUGAGACACGAAAGCGUGGGUAGCAAACAGG